rnacentral:lncRNA from 1 species
GAGUAAUUCCUUGAUUAAGCAAUACCACCUAGGGAUAGGGGUAGGACGAUCAAUUGUUUUCACUUUUGUUCUAUAAUGCAUUAUUAAUUGCUAGGGGAGGCUAGGGAUAGCAAGCCGGUAAUUAGUAAUAGGCUCUUUUCACCGAGGGAUCGGGUUAAGGGUAGGCCAAGAAAGUUGCAUAACAAUUAGUUAAUCAAGCAAAUAAAUCAAGGAGUAAAUAAGAGAGAACGGAUAAGACGAAAUUGUAAACCCCCAACAACUCCAUUCAUCCAUCCACUUUUGUGUUUAACCUCAAUUGAUCAAAUUGCAUUCAUGUUUAUUUUUCUGCACUUUAUAAAAAUCCCAAAAUAUUAUUCUUAUAGUCUUGAUUGGUUAAGCAAAAGCACAACAGUUUAGUGUCGUGAGUCUCUUGGGAAAACGGUACUUGG